rnacentral:lncRNA from 1 species
CCAAUAAUCCAACAAUAAACCUCUGAUUAAGUAACAAGAAAUACUUAACACUUUAGCCAUCAACAAAACCAGAAUUUGCGCAAUGCAAUUUAUUGAUUGAAAACAAAGUACCUUAAUCGUGGAAACAGAGGAAAGUAGGGAUGUGGUUGUGGUAAAUGGAUUCUAGAUCUCUACAUUUGUGUAGAUAUUGAGAAAAAGGGAUUUCAGAAGCAACCUCCUUCAAGAAUUGAGAUGAUUCGAUCUUUCUUCUGAAUAAGAGCACGAAAAGGAAAAAAUUAUGAGUUGGGUGGUGUUUGUGUGUGUUACCACACCCAUAGAGUUGCGUUGUUUUCGUGUUUGGGGCAAAAUUUGUUGAUACAUCGUGACGCACCCUGUAAUUAAACAAGGGAGAAGGAGAAAAAGAAAACACCAAAACAAAUUUUGUGGAGGGUGCACCGUGGGUCACCGCCGGAGACAACCUCCGAUGACGGUAAGCGGUGGUUGACGACUGGGGUUGCAAGGAGAGAGAGUUGAGUGAGAAAUCGUCAGGUGUGGCGAAU